UCUCUUCCUCGGUCCUCCCUCCUCUGUCCGUUACUCCAUCUCCUCACCAUUCAUUCCUAUUUUCCCAUUUCUUAGAUCCCGUGAUGAGCAAAGGAGUUGAAGGUGGGGGAAGCAGUGCCGCGUCGGCUUUGCAGCGGCAACGACGUGGGUUCCGUGAGGCACGGCGCGAUCCCCGCACGGCGGUGGAUCCGCGGACCGCGGAUGUCGGCGCAUGAUCCGCGGUGGCCUCGGCAAAGGAAGACUGCAGUGGUGGUGCGGCUUCCCGGCAAGGGGUGACGGCGUGUCUCCCUGGCGGGCGAGCGUGGCUUCCGUCCCCAUGGCGUUAAGUGCCUAAAACUUUACUCCCCAUUUCCUCCCUUUACUGAAUCUUCUCCUUCUGUUUCCUUGUUAAUUUUGCUUCCUAUGAACUGUGUGUGUGAUGCUUCAUAGGUUGCGAGUUCCUAUGGUAGGAAAUGUGAUUUUCUGGAUUUGAUGGUUUGGGAGGAGAUCGAGGUGAUGGGAGAAUCUUGUUCACUCAAAUCUGAUUUGCUGAAUUAAGAAAAAAAAUGUUUAGGAUGAAGGACAAAGCCACAAAGGAAAAUGCGCAUGAGUAUUAACUAUGCAUGUCCAUGACUUUGGAUGAAGUUUCUACUCUAGUCUUCAGUAACCAUGCUUGUGUGAGUGAUUGUUUGAUUACUUGCUCGCUGCAGCCAUCUCUGAACUCUUGCUUUGUGCUUAAGUAAUAAAAAUAGCAUGAAUGAGCUGACUGUACUACACGUAUUUUAAAAUCUGAUUGUUUUUGUGAUCAUGCUGUAAAUUCAGUAACUUUUUUCUUUUUUUGUAUUUGUUGGUUUUAACAAAAUAUUGCAUUAUUUUCACCCAGAGUCAUCUUAUUAUGCUUAGAUAGAGUGUAAUCUUGUUUUAUCUUCUAACAAAUUUGCAUGGAAGAUUUUUACAAUAUCAAUUCUUUUUUCAUGUAUGAGCUCGCCUUUUCUUUUAGUACUUGUAUCAUGUGUCUUUAUUAGACCAUUCUUUAGAAACUUAGCUGCCGCUCAAAAAAAAAGAACUCACUAGUUGUGUAUAUGAAAUAACACAUUCUGUAAUUUAUUUAUUUAUUAUUCAGCUACCACUUCAAAAAACAUGUGCGUGCGUGCGUGCGCGAUUUGCACGGCUAGCACAUUCUCUAAAAUUUUUAUUUAUUGUCCAGCUACAACUUGGAAGUAGCGGAUGAUUUAACCCAUGCAAGUAGUUUAUACUUUUGAACUUUGGAAGCAUGUAUCCAAAUCCCAAGUGGCAGCUAAGAUUCCUUAUAGUUUUAGUUUUCGAUGUUCUAAGCUGUUAUUUUAUAUGUAUUAUAUUAUUAUUUAGUAAGGCAUGUCUUGCUCUAGGAAUAUAAUAUAACUGCCAUGCCAUUUCUUGAGUGUAUACGGUAUUACUCUUAACGCGAGUAAUUUAUCAUCUCACCUGAAUUGAAUUAUAUACCACAAAAGGUUUAGUGUGUGUGUUGCUUUGUGAGAUUGAAUAUGUUUAUUUAUAGAUGUGCUUUUUUAUUUUAGGACUUACCAAACUAUAUAUAUUCAAACACAUCAACAUGUUGCUUAAUUGACAUCUGUUUGUUACUAUGAAUGUUUUUUUGAAUUAAAAAGAUAUAGUCUAUACCUUCUCAUUAAGGAUAAGAUGAUGCAGAAUGUGGUAGGACUAGGAGGUCACAUGCCAGUAACUUGAGGCCAGGCAGUAGCAGCUUGGAGUCAAUAAGCAGUAUUAUAAUCUCUAGCAAAACUUUAUUGUUAAUUGACAAGACUUCUCUUAGUUGUAAGUCAAAUUAUGCCAUAUUUACUUGAAGGUUAGUUUUCAGACUUAUGGACAUUGUCUGGUUACCGUAGAAAUCAUGGUUUGAUUGUUUGGUGUUAUCUCAUAAAUAGAUAGGCAUUUGUGGACAUCAUCGUAGAGAGCCUUUGUCAAUUUCUCUCUACACAAAGAUUGUGAAGGUUUCUUGCUCCCCUUUCAGGGUUUCGAUUGUGACAGCUGCAGUUUAGGAGGUGUAUCUAUGGACGCCAUCUUGUCAGCCACCAGAUGCCCAGAAUGUUUGUUGUUGGUGUAUCAACAAAUAAUAACACAAACCCAUAUAAUUGGUAAAUUUGCUGCCUAUUAUGUAGUCACAUUGAAUGUGCAUAUGCCACCCAAAAAUUUUAAAUGUAAAUUUUCUAUUUAUUGUUUUUGUUUUGCUAUUUUUUUGUUUGUACUCGAGAUGAGAAAAAUACACAGACAACUUUUUAUUUGUUCUAUUUUGGGGAUUUUUGUAUGUAUUUUAGUUGUAGAAAAAACAAUUGUGGCUGAUAUAUGUAGUCUCCUUGUAUGUUCGUAUUUUGCCCCAAAAAUUUUAGGUGUAAUUUUUUA